AGAGUUUGAUCCUGGCUCAGGAUGAACGCUGGCGGCGUGCCUAAUACAUGCAAGUCGAGCGAACGGACGAGAAGCUUGCUUCUCUGAUGUUAGCGGCGGACGGGUGAGUAACACGUGGAUAACCUACCUAUAAGACUGGGAUAACUUCGGGAAACCGGAGCUAAUACCGGAUAAUAUUUUGAACCGCAUGAUUCAAAAGUGAAAGACGGUCUUGCUGUCACUUAUAGAUGGAUCCGCGCUGCAUUAGCUAGUUGGUAAGGUAACGGCUUACCAAGGCAACGAUGCAUAGCCGACCUGAGAGGGUGAUCGGCCACACUGGAACUGAGACACGGUCCAGACUCCUACGGGAGGCAGCAGUAGGGAAUCUUCCGCAAUGGGCGAAAGCCUGACGGAGCAACGCCGCGUGAGUGAUGAAGGUCUUCGGAUCGUAAAACUCUGUUAUUAGGGAAGAACAUAUGUGUAAGUAACUGUGCACAUCUUGACGGUACCUAAUCAGAAAGCCACGGCUAACUACGUGCCAGCAGCCGCGGUAAUACGUAGGUGGCAAGCGUUAUCCGGAAUUAUUGGGCGUAAAGCGCGCGUAGGCGGUUUUUUAAGUCUGAUGUGAAAGCCCACGGCUCAACCGUGGAGGGUCAUUGGAAACUGGAAAACUUGAGUGCAGAAGAGGAAAGUGGAAUUCCAUGUGUAGCGGUGAAAUGCGCAGAGAUAUGGAGGAACACCAGUGGCGAAGGCGACUUUCUGGUCUGUAACUGACGCUGAUGUGCGAAAGCGUGGGGAUCAAACAGGAUUAGAUACCCUGGUAGUCCACGCCGUAAACGAUGAGUGCUAAGUGUUAGGGGGUUUCCGCCCCUUAGUGCUGCAGCUAACGCAUUAAGCACUCCGCCUGGGGAGUACGACCGCAAGGUUGAAACUCAAAGGAAUUGACGGGGACCCGCACAAGCGGUGGAGCAUGUGGUUUAAUUCGAAGCAACGCGAAGAACCUUACCAAAUCUUGACAUCCUUUGACAACUCUAGAGAUAGAGCCUUCCCCUUCGGGGGACAAAGUGACAGGUGGUGCAUGGUUGUCGUCAGCUCGUGUCGUGAGAUGUUGGGUUAAGUCCCGCAACGAGCGCAACCCUUAAGCUUAGUUGCCAUCAUUAAGUUGGGCACUCUAAGUUGACUGCCGGUGACAAACCGGAGGAAGGUGGGGAUGACGUCAAAUCAUCAUGCCCCUUAUGAUUUGGGCUACACACGUGCUACAAUGGACAAU
rnacentral:rRNA from 1 species